UAAAUGAAGUCAGGGGUUUAUAUAUUUUUUUUUUUUUUUUAACAGAAUGAAUAAUGUAUUUUCUGUGAAAAGUAGAUAUCUUGAUCUGUUGAUAACAGUGGUGCAAGUAAACUAAUUUUAAGGCAAGAAAGAUCUGAUAAAGCAAUUGGUGAAGGGCUUUAUUUCAAAAAGGAAACUGUAAAAUGCUGGCCAAAAUAAUCCUUGGAUGCUUAAUAUACUCUUCCUUACAAAUGAAAAAAGAUAAAUCAGUAGCCAAAUAGAGAAAAAGUGAAACAGGUGCUUCUGUUAAGAGAAAGGUAGGAAGAACUCAGCCAUUAUCUUUCCUGUUUGGCACCAUAUGUCAGAUCAGUGAACAUGUUGGCUUCAGCCACCAGUUGAUAGCUUUAGCUCCAGCUUGGCCAGAGUUUGUGUAAUAUUCCUGACUAGUCAGCAGGACUGGUUUUAUUUCAACUGCAUUCAAAAUUUUAAUUUCUCUUUAUUGCAAAGUACAUUGUGGGAUGUUAAUUUAUGGCAGGUUACUGAACUCAAAAUAAGGAAUGGAAAGUCUUAACAUCCCCAGACCCAGCAAGGGCUCCCAGGGAGCUGAGAGACUUCUUUGUUGACCCUCUUCUGACCAAGGUGACUUCUGUCAGGCCAGAGAAGGAACAUGCAGGAACUCCUGCUUUACCAUUCUGGGAGUGGCUUUGGGUUUUAUCAAAAGAUUUUGGUACUGAACAUAAAAAAGGUGACUGGGUGCCUUGAGGGACAGCAGUUGCACCAUGGGAUUUCUCUGUAUCUCCCUCUAAGUCCUUCACUUUGAAUCUGAGUUUACUUCUGUUCUUGUUUUAUAGUUUACUGUAUCUUAAAUUCAGCAGGGCUUUGGUUAAACUGCCUCCUUCCUGAGAAGGGAAGUGAGCUCCACCUAUAAUAAAGCUUUUUUUUGAAGAAAGGGUGUUUUUGUAGCCUUUAAAAGCAGAUUUCCCUCUGUGAGCCUGCUGCCCUACAACAGCAAGGUUCCUGGGCAAAUCUAAGUUUGCAGGUGAGGAAUCUACUUGCCUUUUGAUUGGUGAAGGAAUUUUUGGGUGAAAUGAUCAAGUAUUCAGAACUCUCACAUGCUGUGCAUAUCCUGCAGAAUAUAUUUUGUUUGAUGUUUGUGAAAGAUCUUUAGAAUAAAUCUGUUUUUUUGAAAAUGA